GCUUAGCCCUAAACACAGAUAAUUACAUAAACAAAUUAUUUGCCAGAGUACUACCAGCAACAGCUUAAAACUCAAAGGACUUGGCGGUACUUAUAUCCAUC
rnacentral:rRNA from 1 species